CAGCGCCACCGCUUGUUAGGGUUUUGUCUGCCGCCGCUGCGCCUCGUCCUCUAGCUUCUCUGGGUGACAAGCCCUAGCCCCCCCGGUUCCCCAAUUAUAAUUCUUUUGUUUGUGGAUUUUUUUGAUUCUAUCUCUAUCCACUCCUUUACCUGUUGGAAAAUCUUAUGCUAGUUUCCUAGAUUACAGGGUCCUGUAGUGCUUCUCUUAGAUUUUCUUAUGAUCUGGUGUUCAUCUAUUGUUGUCUGAUGUUUUCUUCUUAAAAGUAUUUUAGAUUUAUGUAAGGAUGGCCUAAUAUUGCAAUUGUUUGCUGCUGGAUUUUGGGUGCAGCAAGGAAUCUAUCGUUAGGCCAAAUGUUUCUCCUUCCUUUAGCUCCGAAUUAUCCUUUUCUAGGGUUUUUUGGUGACAAGGCAUGAUGUUGGAUGAUGAAGCGAAUCAUUCGGAUUCCCAUUGAUUUCCGUAAGAUGAUAUUGUUAACCAGCUACUUCUGACAACAUUAUGCCAUCUCCCUUGUUUCGUCAAAGUAAAGAUUGGGUUUUUGAUUCGUUUUAGUUACUUGGUUUUAAAUUUCUCUGUGGUUACCUUCUGUUCUUCAAUUUUGUUAACAUAUGGUUCUUAUUUCACAAUAUUGGAAAUUUUGAUGGGCCUGUGAUGUGAGAAAAAUAUAUUUGCUACUCUUGAUGGGGGAACCCAUCUGAUGACAAUCAACCACCAAGAUCUCUGAGGCUCUGCCUUCCACUACCCUAUUCAGGUCUUCAUUUUACUGUUUAAACAUCUUACUUUUCUAUUUAAAUGUUGUAUGUUUUAAAAAUUUAAACUAUGGUCACAUAGUAUAAAUGUCAUCAGGUAUCCUAAAUAUUCACAUAGUUUAAUUAUUUUCAUGAGCCUCUGAUGUCAGAAAAUAUUUGCUACUCUUGAUGGGGAACCCAUCUGAUGAUCAUCGACCACCAAGAUCUCUGAGGCUGUGUUUUUUUUUUCCUUCAAAAAAUCAUUUCUAUUUAAGUAUUGCUUGUUUAAAAAUUGGUUCAAUUAAGAACUAGAUAGAUGGUUUUUUUCUUUUUUUUUUUUUUUAAUAUGAUGUAGAGAAGAGGCCACUUACAGGGCCAAGACAUGGAAGAAAGAGACAAUUGAGAGGAAAAAUUGCCACAUUAGUCGAUUAUUGGGGAAAAUUUCUAUCAAAAUAAGAUAAUAAAUCAAAUUGAUUUAAAAAAUGAUAAAAUUCAAAAAUUUUAAAAAUUCCUUUUGUUCUCAUUGCUUUAAGAACUUUCAUAGUAUAUUUAGCUACAUCCUUUGCUACUAUCCUUGUUGAAGCAAUCUUAAUAUAUCAUGCUAUUCGUUGGUCGCAGGGGAAGUCAUGCAAUAAACUCAUGUGGGUUUGAUGUUGGAAAUAGAAGAGAUGAUGAAUAAAAGAGACCAUUGGACUUGUCUUACAAUUUCAGUAACAUAUUUGUUACUCAUCUCACUAAUAGAUGCAUAUAUCUUCUUCCCUUUUUGAGAAGAUGGAUUUAUAAAAUCCAAAGAAAAAUAAAGAAAACAAUUAGAACGAAUUGUUAUUAGAGCAGAAGUUCCAUAUGACGAUAUUUUGCUAUUGAAAUAUUAGAACCAUCUUUUGACUCUUGUUUUA